CCAGCUCCAGAGUUUCUUGGGCUCGACUAACUUCUACAGACCUUUCAUCCCUAGAUUUUUACAUUGCCUCACUUCAGUUAAACUAAAUUCACCUGGAACCCUGGCACUGACAAGGCACACUUGAUCUCGCCAGGCCCCACACAGCAGUUUGAUGUUUAAAGGAGUCAUAUCAUGCUUUUCAUUCUAAAAAAAUAUUAGACUUUAAUGUCUCAGUAAGGUCUCUGUAAAUUUUCAUCCCAUAAAACCCUUUAGAUCGUCCACACUGCCCCUGUCAAUGUGUGGUUUUCACUCUCCAUCAGCAAACGCUGUGUUUUCUGGGCGUGUCGCAAGCGAAGCUGCUCACCACACCUCUGUGCGGAAGCGCAUACCUUUUUUGUUGUUGUUUUUUUUUUAAAAUUGGCUCCAUGGAUACGAGCCACCGCACGGUUACGAUACAAUAGGUGGCAGUAGUGCGACAUUGAGAAUGCAAUCCACCACAAUCCUCCACAGAAGAAGAAGACCCACUGCAGAACUGCACAACAUUAGCCAGCUGAUUCGUAGCGUUGUAGAACCAUACGUCUACGAUCCCGAAUCUGACCCUGAAGCUGAAGAGGAGGCUGUUGAAGUCACCACAUUUCGGCUGAUGCAAGAUGUGUCUCAUUGUUGUUACAGGUAUCUAGUCUACAGAGGCUAGUGAGCUGGUGCUGAGGAUUCCUGGGGUGAAGAAUCUGAGUUGCCAUCUCUUCAUGCUUGGGUUGUAGAUGAAGGCAGUUUCCUGAUGGAUAAAACACUAAAACACUCAUAGUAUGAUUGAUGUAGACCACCUGUAGAAUAACUCCUUUACCGUUUGAGUAAAAAUGUGUUUUUUGUGAGUGCAACACUCAUUAAGAAUUUUUUUAACUUUAUUUAUAUAUAAUUUAUAUGCGUUUUAUUUAUGGCCGCUUCAACUUUAUAGCUUACCAUAUUAGAAAGAGAAAAACAUGUAAUUUCAAUACUAUGAUUUCCUAAAUAAAAGUGUUUUCCCUUCAGAAA